CUAGAGAUCGGGAGAGGUUUUUACACUGGGUUCCCUCGAAUUCAAACUAAAACAACACAAUACGCAAAGUGAUCCCCUAAACCAAAACCGCUACGCAACAUCAACUCACUAAGGGUCGUCUCAUGUACUUAUGUAUCUGGGUAACCCGAACUAGUGAAAAAUCAAAUUUUCUCUUUUAUCAAGGGAUUAACAUUAUCAUUCUAACCUCCCUAACUUCCGAUUUUAAUCUGUAAAAUGUUAAAUCUGUUUACCCUCAUACAGGGACGAGGCGGGGUGCCUAACACCUUCCCUGCCCAUAUGCGGACCCCGAACCUAGAAUCUCUG
rnacentral:misc_RNA from 1 species